rnacentral:rRNA from 1 species
UCGUAACAAGGUUUCCGUAGGUGAACCUGCGGAAGGAUCAUUACCUAGAGUUUGUAGACUUCGGUCUGCUACCUCUUACCCAUGUCUUUUGAGUACCUUCGUUUCCUCGGCGGGUCCGCCCGCCGAUUGGACAACAUUCAAACCCUUUGCAGUUGCAAUCAGCGUCUGAAAAAACAUAAUAGUUACAACUUUCAACAACGGAUCUCUUGGUUCUGGCAUCGAUGAAGAACGCAGCGAAAUGCGAUAAGUAGUGUGAAUUGCAGAAUUCAGUGAAUCAUCGAAUCUUUGAACGCACAUUGCGCCCCUUGGUAUUCCAUGGGGCAUGCCUGUUCGAGCGUCAUUUGUACCUUCAAGCUCUGCUUGGUGUGGGGUGUUUGUCUCGCCUCUGCGUGUAGACUCGCCUUAAAACAAUUGGCAGCCGGCGUAUUGAUUUCGGAGCGCAGUACAUCUCGCGCUUUGCACUCAUAACGACGACGUCCAAAAGUACAUUUUUACACUCUUGACCUCGGAUCAGGUAGGGAUACCCGCUGAACUUAAGCAUAUCA